UUUCCUGCAUUUCUAACCAUUUUUCAGGGCAUUGUGUAAAAAUGUAUUAGUAUUUCUUUCAUAAUGCAUCUUUGUGGUAUAUUUCAAAGGCAGUUAGGGCCAAGUUCCUGGAAUAUAUCUCUAACUUUUAAGGCAUACUUAAAAAAGAUUUAAUGUUUAAAAAUUACUUUGUUUUAUGAGUCCCCCAAAAUACCAACAAAAAUAUUAACUCUGUGAUAAGUAUGAAUGUAAAAAUAGAUUUUAUUUGCUGUGUAGUUUGCAUGUUAAAAACAGACACGAGAUGUUACAAUAUAUAACUUGUGUGCUCUUUAUUAUUCUUUAAUUAUGAUCCUAUUGAUUCCCAUUGGGGCACCAAGCUGAAGAUGUUUACAUAUUGCUACUAAAGUUUUUCUCCUGUGUAGAAAUUUCUUUCAAGGACCAUUGCAAAUAAAAUUCCAGUUUAAAUAUUUUUAGGCAUCGAGUUUUUGGUAAGAUCCGCUUUACUUCAUGGUGAAUGAUGUAAGGUAUAGCCUAUUAGUUCUUUACUAUUUAAGUAAAGUAAAACUUGAUUUAUAAUAUGAUGAAACAUGGAUAUAAGAAUUUUAUUUUGUUUAGCUAUGGUUUCAUAUAAUCUUAAUGUAACAUGUAACUGUAAUAAUGUUCCAUAUAAUUUAUUUCCAUAUUCCAAAGACUAUGAAAAUAAAAUCUGUACUUUGGAAAACCCCAAAACAUAAAAAGGGCAUCUUUCUUUAAAAGAUGAGAAGAACAUUUAAGUUUUCCUCUUUUACCUCCAGAAUAAUAUAAUGGAACCACUUAUCUUUUUCAGAAAUCAACUCUAAGGAAAGAAGUGGUCAGGAAACCUGUUGAAAGAAAAUGAAAGCAAUGUAUUUCAGCAAUUACUUAAAUCCUGCAAGAAGAUCAUGUUUGAUGGGGUCUCACUGUGCCACCCAGGAGUGUACAGUGGAGUACAGUGGUGUGUGAUCAUGGCUUAUUGCAGACUCGACUUCCUGAACUCAGGCAAUCCUUCCACCUCUGCCUAUUUUCAGAAAGCAGUUGGUGUAGAUAGCUGAAACUACAGAAGAGAAAACUGUGAAUAAAAGGGAUCGACUGUACCCUUAUAACCACCACUCUAAUCAAGAUAUAGAACAGCUUCAUCACUUCAGUAAGUUUCCUCAUGCUCCUUUGCUUUGAUCUUCAUGCCCUACCCAACCCUAGGCAACUGUAAAUCAGCUGUCGCUAUAAAUUAUGCUGCCUUUCUGAAAUAAUACAGUAUGUAAACUUUAGUGUAUAGCUUUUUCAUUAAGUGUGUUUUAAGAUUCUUCCAUUUUUUUUAGGUAUCAGUAGUGUAUACAUUUUUAUUUUUUAUUUAUGGAGUGAUAUUCCAUUGUAGGAAUAUACCAUAGUUUGCUAAUUUAUUUACCUGCUGAUGAUAAUUUGGGUUGUUUCUAAUUUUAGGCCAUUGUUAAUAAAGCAGCCUCAAACAUUAGUGCUAAGGUAUUUUUAUGGGAAUAGAUUUUCAUUU
rnacentral:lncRNA from 1 species